GACGAACGCUGGCGGCGUGCUUAACACAUGCAAGUCGAACGGAAAGGCCCUGCUUUUGUGGGGUGCUCGAGUGGCAAACGGGUGAGUAACACGUGAGUAACCUGCCCUUGACUUUGGGAUAACUUCAGGAAACUGGGGCUAAUACCGGAUAGGAGCUCCUGCUGCAUGGUGGGGGUUGGAAAGUUUCGGCGGUUGGGGAUGGACUCGCGGCUUAUCAGCUUGUUGGUGGGGUAGUGGCUUACCAAGGCUUUGACGGGUAGCCGGCCUGAGAGGGUGACCGGCCACAUUGGGACUGAGAUACGGCCCAGACUCCUACGGGAGGCAGCAGUGGGGAAUAUUGCACAAUGGGCGGAAGCCUGAUGCAGCAACGCCGCGUGCGGGGUGACGGCCUUCGGGCUGUAAACCGCUUUCGCCUGUGACGAAGCGUGAGUGACGGUAAUGGGUAAAGAAGCACCGGCUAACUACGUG
rnacentral:rRNA from 1 species